rnacentral:rRNA from 1 species
UACGAAGGGGGCUAGCGUUGCUCGGAAUCACUGGGCGUAAAGGGUGCGUAGGCGGGUCUUUAAGUCAGGGGUGAAAUCCUGGAGCUCAACUCCAGAACUGCCUUUGAUACUGAAGAUCUUGAGUUCGGGAGAGGUGAGUGGAACUGCGAGUGUAGAGGUGAAAUUCGUAGAUAUUCGCAGGAACACCAGUGGCGAAGGCGGCUUACUGGUCCAUUACUGACGCUGAGGUGCGAAAGCGUGGGGAGCAAACAGG